CAGUCGCCACGGUAAUACGUAGGGUGCAAGCGUUAAUCGGAAUUACUGGGCGUAAAGCGUGCGCAGGCGGUUAUAUAAGACAGAUGUGAAAUCCCCGGGCUCAACCUGGGAACUGCAUUUGUGACUGUAUAGCUAGAGUACGGCAGAGGGGGAUGGAAUUCCGCGUGUAGCAGUGAAAUGCGUAGAUAUGCGGAGGAACACCGAUGGCGAAGGCAAUCCCCUGGGCCUGUACUGACGCUCAUGCACGAAAGCGUGGGGAGCAAACAGGAUUAGAGACCCGAGUAGUCCCUGUCUCUUAUAC
rnacentral:rRNA from 1 species